rnacentral:lncRNA from 1 species
AGAACACAAACAGAAAUAGAAGCAGAGGACAAAACGAAAGGGAUAAAAACGAAAGAGAAAAUACAAAGGAAAAAAAGGGAGAGGAAAACUCAGAAAUCAUCAGAAACGAAGCAACGGUUGAGUCAUUCUUGACAGGAUACUAUCAAAGCUGCGGAAUUUGUGGUUAAAAGGUAAGCUUUUUUUUCUUUCGAAACACUGUAUCUUGAUUUAGGGUUUUGGUUCAGUGUAAUUUAGGAAUUUGGGGUUUAGAGUCCAAGUUCAAUCACCAAGCUUGUACCAGUUUGUUGGGGAAUUUGGGAAUUUUAGCGUGUUUAGGGUUUGGGAUGAGGUACAGAUCUUCUGUGUUUGUUUUCUAGUUUGUUCUUCUAAUUGUUGAAGGGCCCCCAAAAAUAACACUUGUUCUUACGUUCAUGUUUUGUUCCCCAGAAGUAACACUGCAUUUGCCCAACUGUUAAAGAAAGGAGAACUCAAAAUUGUGGAUUAACCAUUUGUUACUGCCUUAUUGAUCAGCUUGUAUUUAGGUAAGUUUGCUGAUAUUAUUUUUAUCAAAUUGUCCUUACUUUUAUUCCUUCUGAUUUCAGAGUUGAAUUUAUUUAGUUAUUAGUAAAAAGGGGUAAACAACUGAACUAAAACUACAAAAGUUUACUCUUCGACAAUCUCUAAUUUUAGUUGACUUCACUGUGAAUUUCCUCAAAUAAGCAUCACAGUUUUUGCUUUAAGUGUUAUUUAAACUUUUAACUUGGUAAAAACAUUUGAAUGGCUUGGAAAUUUUUGUGCAUUUUAAAAUCUCUUUUAAGAAAAACUUAUUGGGUGGGGUUGGACCAAGCCUAAUUUAUUCAUAUACUGUUGAGGCUUUGGAGUAAUUUAGUAUAAAACUGCAUCUACAGGUAAAUGCUUUAGCUGCUUUUCCAUCUUUAUAUAUUUUUAAAAUUUUCUCCAUGUUGCAGUAAAAAUUGUUGAAAGUAAUUUUCUUAGAACGUAAUCGACUUUCCAGCACUUUGUAAUUAGCUCUGUAGUUGCUAUAACAAUGUUAAACAAUGUUACACGAUUUCUUCAUUCUCCGGUUGUUCCUAAAGUAUCAGUCUGACAGCUAUAUCUAGAUUCCCGACACAUAUUCAAACAUUGAUAUAGAACACAUGGAGAACAAAAAGUUCCUUUCACACCAAGUUCCUACAUGUCUGUUCUGCUUUGUUCAAUGAGUUUAUUAUUUCUCUGUUGUUUGUUUCUUACACACGAGAUUUGGAUAUUGUAUAUACAUUGUAAAAAUGGGCUGCCCGAUUUAACAGAAUGUUAAAUACAUGACUUACUAAAAUUUAAGUAUAUAUUACAUUACUUACUAAAAUAUAUUACAUUACUUAAAUAUAUUACUUACUAAAAUUUAUAACUUACAUUACAUAAACAUAUUACAUUACUUAAAAUUUAUAUAUAUAUUUUAAAUUUUUAUAUAUGGUAUGGAUAUAUAACCUAUAUUUCAAUUUUAUUGUCAAUAAAUUUUAUAAUUUUAAAAAUAAUUGUAAAUGUUAUUUUUUAAAUAUUAAAACCUAUUUUUUUAAAAUAUCAUCCCAUAUAUGGUAUGGAUAUAUAACCUACAUUUCAAAUUUAUUAGUAAUAAAUUUUAUAAUUUUAAAAAUAAUUAUAAAUAAGAUACAUAAAAGUGAUAUACUUACAUUACUUACAAAACUAUGCACCUUAUGGUCAUUCUUCUUACCAUUUUCUUGGCUGGUUCAAGAUAACCUAAAUUAAAAAAUAUACUAUUUUUAAAUUUAUUUAAAAAAUAUACUAAAUUAAUAAAUUUCAAAUAUAAUGUACUAAAAUAAUGUAAAAUAAAAAAAAUAGUAUAUUUUUUAAAAUUAUUAAAAUUCGAGAAAAAAAUACGAACAUAAGGUUGAAAUAAGGGUUUUUUUAAUUUAAAAAACACACUAAAUUAAUACAUUUCAAAUAUAAUGUACUAAAAUAGUGUAAAAUAAAAAAAUUAAAAAUAGUAUAUUUUAUAAAAGUAAUAAAAUCUAGGAAAAAAAUAUGAACAUAGGGCUGAAAUAAGGGUUUUUUUAAAAUUUAUUUAAAAAAUCACACUAAAUUAAUACAGUUCAAAUAUAAUGUACUAAAAUAAUGUAAAAUUAAAAAAUUAAAAAUAGUAUAUUUUUUAAAAGUAAUAAAAUUCGAAAAAAAAUACGAACAAAGGGCCAAAAUACGAACAAUUGGUGCCGCCUGUGCCACAGGCACCAAAGGUGCUGCCUAUGGCAGGCCCUCCUUCAGUAUGUUUUUUUUUUAACUUUUUUUUGUAUUAUUUUGGUAAAUAAAAAUAAGUUGUAAUAUUUUAGUAUUUUUUUAUUUUUUUUGUAAUAUUUUGGUAAAAAUCCCUAUGGAUAUAUAACCUAUAUUUCAAUUUUAUUGUCAAUAAAUUUUAUAAUUUUAAAAAUAAUUGUAUAUGUUAUUUUUUUUAAAUAUUAAAACCUAUUUUUUUAAUAUAUCACCCCAUAUAUGGUAUGGAUAUAUAACCUACAUUUCAAAUUUAUUAGUAAUAAAUUUUAUAGUUAUAAAAAUAAUUAUAAAUAAGAUACAUAAAAGUGAUAUACUUACAUAACUUAUAUAUAAACUUAUAUAUAAACUUGCAUAACUUACAUAAUAACAUAAUAACUUACAUAAUACAUAACUUACAUAAAUUAAAUAACUUACAUAAUACAUAACUUUGAUAACUAACAUUAUACACAACUUACAUAAUACAUUUCUUACAUAACUUACAUUAUACACAACUUAAUUAAUAUUAUACAUAACAUACAUAAUACAUAAUACACAACUUAAUUAAUAAUAUACAUAAUAGACAUAAUACAUAAUACAUAAUACACAACUUAAUUAAUAUUAUACAUAACAUACAUAAUACAUAACUUACAUAAUACACAACUUAAUUAAUAUUAUACAUAACUUACAUAAAUUACAUACAUAUCGAUGCAG